rnacentral:lncRNA from 1 species
GGCACCAUCCCCGGCUCGGCCUCACGGUGGCGGUGCGGGCGCGGCGGGGACACCGAGCAAGAGACCGGGUCUGCGCCCGCCGCGAUCCCUGCGCACCACGGCCCUGCCCGCCACGGGGCGAGCCCGAUAAGAGGGCUGUGGACGUUCGGGUCUAGUUGGGAGAGACAGGGGUCCCUGACUCUUGAGCGGUCAGUCAUUUCCUCCCCAGUCCUUGUGGGUGACGUGGCUACGGUUUGGAGCAGCAAGCCCCCUCCCCGAACUAAAGGGCCUCUCCAAAGGUUAAGCCAGGGCAGUCAUUGAGGUCAAAACCAAUAUGUAGUUUCUUGACUGCAGGUGCCUGCACGACUCCCAGAAAGUCGCGUCUCCCCUAACCCCCAUGCCCAGGACCUGAGGACAAAGGUCUAGCGAUUGUCCAUCCCCUCCCCCAGUGAGGACAGCCGGGAAAGACCUGCCUUUGUUGUGUACAGGUGGUAUCUCACUGUGUUAUCCAGACUGGACUCAAAUUUCUGGGCUCCAAUGGUCCUCUCACCUCAGCCUCCCAAGUAGUCAGGACUACAGGUACACACUACUUGUUGCUGUCCUCAUUUUACAGAUGAAGAAACUGAGGCCCCAGAUCACAGGGCUGGUGAGAAGAACGUGAUAUCUCCAGAGCUAACACUUAACUACUAUAGUGUACCACACAAGGAGAGAGCAGCAUUAGAGAGGGGUGCCACUUCCUCUGAUGGAAGAUAAAAAAGAAAGAUUGCCAGCCUGGGCAACAUAGUGAGACCCUGUCUCUACAAAAAAUAAAA